GCGGGUGUAGCUCAGUGGUUGAGCACAUGCCUACCAUGCACGAAGUCCUGGGUUCAAUCCCCAGUACCUCCA
rnacentral:tRNA from 1 species